GCUGAAUGAACGCAUACCAUCUGAAGGCAGCAGCUCACGCAAGGGUCGAUACCCACUGUUGUGUCCACUUGUUGAGGGAACACUUACAACAGACUACGUUUUUAUCAUGUUUAGGUUCAUGUCAGGAUCUGCGCCACGUAAAAAAAAAUUAAAUUUUCAACUAAUUCCAGAUCCUCCCAUCUGCCUGGGUAACUAACUGUCUUCCCCUUUUUUUCUUCCCCUAUACUCUUGGUUGCUAGGCUGCAGUUGGACCGCAUCCCCGCAGUGGCAGAAACCGCGGAGGAAGUUCGCGCAAGCGCACCACGUACACUCAGAGUUGAUGAUGCUGGCUGACGCUAGUAGCUCCCAGACACGAGUCUAGUUAUGUAAACUAGAUUUCCCGUCUUCCUCUUCCUCUUCUUACCAACAGAAUUUCAUCAUUUUUGACACCACCCCGAUUUACCGUGGGCAUGCGCAGUGUUUUCGUUUAACAAGGAGUAGAAAGUUUCAUCUAAACAUGGCGUUAAAUGGCUAAGUUGUCAAGCUAAAGAUGAAGUGGUCGGAAGGUGUUAACGCGGAAGGUUACCUUCGAGCGGGCCAGGAGAGGGCGGGCGAGCAGGGGCAACUCGGACCAGCGACGGGUAGGUCAGCCUGCCCCGAGGCCCCUGCUAGCUUCCUGCUCUUGCUUCAUUUCUUAAUCCAAUGAAAUAUGACACUGGAGUCUGACGAUGGGAGCCGCACGCCUUCAUUAGAAAAGCCAUAUCGGAAAGUGUCGCAGAGAUGGCGGCCGUGCUUGGCCUCUCUGCUAUUCUUCACGGUCGUGUUACUGGACAACUUCGUAACCUGUUUAAGUGUUUCCACGCAUUUCCAUAACCCUUGGAUGUCAGACGAUUUUCUUUUAGACUCCACUUCCAGUUCUAAGGUAAGUCCUACCUGUCCGAUGUCGCGUGGUUCACGCCAAUCCCAGUGCCUUUCCUUGGAGUACCUGUGCGCCCUGUCCCCGGGCAGAGAGCGGGAGAAACACUUCGUACAACUGAAUCCUUGCUUCUGUUCCCACUACCCUCUAUUAUCGGUGCUCGAGCCCCGGAGCCGAACUCUUGUCAUCGAAGGUUCAGUAGAAGAGUGUCUAAACACUUUGACCUCAAUCCGUGACCUUGACGACCUAGCUCGCCAAAUGAUGUGCGAGUUUGAAUCGUUGCUUAACCGGUAUGAUUGUGGAGGAGAAUAUACAGUCCAGUUUUCCUGUCCAGAAUGUAAGAAUGUUUAUCGAGAAUGGGUGUGUGCUAUGUUGCUUCCGUUUUUCCUUGAUGAUAGCCAUUUAAAACCCUGCCGGACGUUCUGUCAUCGGGUAGAACAACAGUGUCCCUAUUUUCAUCCUUAUAUUACAGAACAGUACGCUGGCGAACCAGUCUUCAAAUGUAUAGAUCCUAACAUUCCAGACAUUCCUUCUAUUUCGCCUAAUUCUCCUUACGGCCUACCUGGAUCCUGUUACCAGCUCUGCCAUGUCAACCCAGACAUCGAGCCUAAAACAUGGAAUACUUCUUUUUUCUGGAAGGAUUCUACGGUGACCCGCACAAAUUCGAAUGCGUUAUCACUUAAAAACACUUCACAUUUGUCUCCCGCCACUUUUUCACGAGCAGUGACAAAGACUGCAAACCCUUGCCUUAUGGCAGGACUAUUUAUAAUCAUUGGUGGAUUGUGGCGCCACUUAGUGAUCGGACAUUGUACGCAGCGAAGUAGCAGAUGGACCUGGCCAAACCCUUUUGGAAUUGUUUGCAUAGAACCCACUUAGCAUUGGUUUAGCUACUGUCGUUUUUUUUUCUGUAAUCAAAAUAGAACGAAGAGACUUAAGUCCACAUUUCUAUAGUUAGAUUAUGUAAGUACACAUCGUCUGUCUUUAUGGGAAAGCCGAUACAGUUGUUGUCUAGAAGAAAAGGCUUAAGGGUAACUAAAUGGUUGAGUGAGUUAUCACGUGACAUGUUAAAUGACUGUUUGCAGAGAGUAUGCUCGAAUGUAUCUUCAAUAUAAGAUUACAGUGUUAGAGAAAUGAUUUUUGUUCCACCGCAAUUUCUUUAAUGAAGCUGUUUCUGUUUUGUUUUUUAAGUAUCUAAAAACGUUUUUUGGUAUACUCUUUUAAUAUCUACUGUUUUUCUUAUAAUAUAUAUAUAUAUAUACGUAUAUGUGUGUGUGUGUGUUAUUUCGUAGUGUUUUAUUAGACUUUAAUUUAACAAAUAAAUAAACGACCUCUACGUUCAGAAUAGAUUAUUUAAUUACUCGAUAUUUUAUCUUGAGUAUUCGUCAAAUGUUGCCUGCAUUACAAACACUGAAAUAAUGUCGAUAUUUUAUCUUGGGUAUUCGUCAAAUGUUGCCUGCAUUACAAACACUGAAAUAAUGAAUUUAAAAAGCUGCAAAUCAAAAUUGGCGAAGACCAUAUUUAUUCCAAAGACUGACUUUAAUGAAUUUUUAGGAAUAGCAUCGAGUUUGAAGCUAUUGAACUUUGCAUAAAAUGAGUCUAAUCUUUUAAAUUAAUCAACUUAUAAAAUUCAUUGCCACAGUGUUUUUUUAUAGUACAAUCAAAAACUUGACUGAUUGUUUUAAGGUAUUUUUAGGGUAAUUAACCAUGCAACGAACAUUUAAUUCCCGGGCUUCAUAAGCUUGCAUAGUUUUUAAUAUUAGAACUCUUCAGCGUUCUUUGUAAUUUUCUGUUCUUGUGAAAGAAGAAGAAAAAAAAAUCACCGUUGAGGUGUAGUCUCAAAAAAAAAUUGUCUUAGGGACAAUUUUUCGGAAACAAAUACUACUAAAGAGCAUUGUCAAUGAAACAGCAUAAAAGUUUCUCUGAUUUUAUAAAAGUACGCUCACUACCUGAGGUGGUUUUAUCUACCACUCUGUGAGGAAAACUGAAGAAUACAACAUCAUGACCGUUUACAAGAAAACUUUGGCCAAAUAGAUUCGUUUUGAAUGCUUUGAAUAAAACUGUAACUUAUUCUGUUGAAACAGGUACACUUUGCUGCGAUUAUACUUUAUCUGUUAGUAAUUAAGACGUGGCUGUGAUGUUACUGUUUAAUUACAUAUACUGACCUGAUGGUUAUGAACCAUUAUGUAAAUUGAUUUAUGCAUAUUCGUUUAAACAAGAGCCGACGUCAUAGUGUAUCAUAUUACUGGCUUUGCACCGAGCAUAUCCUAAUUAACAGAACAUGACGUUGGCAUGAAUCGCAAUCUUAUAAUGCGUGGCAAGUGAAAACGUUAGGUGGCCACCUAGUGGAAUAUUCCUAUCAUAGUUUGAUUUGGUCAACCACUAGUCUUAUAUGAAUGUUCCAAAAUCAUGCCGUCGUGCUAACGCGAAGUAAUAUGCAUUAAGAGGUGAAGUCAUUCUAAGUACGUUAUUACACGGGUAUCCAUCAUUGUCUUUCGAAUCAACCUUCCAUUAAUAUAUAUAUAUGUACGAGUAUUUCUAAUGCAGUCCAGAGGUAGUGGUUAUGCGACUAACGAACAAAGGUGAAAGCAUUAGUCACCUUUUGGC
rnacentral:misc_RNA from 1 species